UAAGCGGCUUCUCAACACGGCUUCUCAUCCGUGUCAUUCAAAAACCCUAAUUCUAUCAAACAUAAAAACUCUCAUCUAGGUAUCUUUAUCAUCUUCAACAUGCUUUCAGAUCUUGAAGAUCCAUCCAAUUCUCCUUUUCCUUCGUUCAUCCCUUUUCAUUAUCAUCGAUUUUCUUUUGUCUUCCCCUUUCAUAAUCCUCUGUAAACCCUAGAGGAGUCUGCACCAGUUCUUCGAGGUUACUGAUUCAAUCUGAUGGAAUGAUGGAUCUUUAUUCAGGCAUUUGGAGAGAGGGAAAUGGUCGAUAUAUGGCAAUAAGAGAGAGGGAGUGAGUGUUAGAGAUAGAGACGGUGGUGGCUGUUGUUGCGACACCACUCGCCACCGGCGACGAGGAUGACCAUCGGUGGUCAAGGGUUUAGAAUAGCGGUCUCGCUUAUGACCACAGUGGCCUCCGGCAAGCGUUACAGUCGAUUGGCUCCCGCUUCGUUUUUACCCAACAUGUGUCGAUUUCUUCAUCUCGAAGGGUUUUUAGAAUCCUCCAAUUGAUUUGAUGUUGAAUGUUCAUUUGUAAGGGAGUCAACAUGUCACUAGCAAGAUCCUGUCGAAGGUUAUUGAGUACUGUAAAAAGCACGUGGAAUCGAUGAAAACGAGGGAAGGUAACUGGUGAGGAUCUAAAAGCUUCUGAUUCAGAGUUUGUGGAAGUGGAGCAUGGAUCGAACGACUCUUUUUUACUUAAUUCUGGGUACAUUUAUUAUACUCAACACUGCUGUGCUAGCUCCUACUGCUACAAUCUCACCCACAAAACCUCAAUCCACGCCAUUUGCAAAAACAACUAACAAAAAAUUUCACAGGCCACUGGUAGUAGAGAAUAAAAGCUUCCAAUAACAAGUUUGCACAGAACUGAUUAGAAUCAUUUUUCAAACCUGUUCUUAGCACGUAUGUUUCCAUUAAAAGAAAGGUAAAGUUUCAUUUGAAUUUUGUUGAUUCUUUUAUCUUACUUUGUGUAUUUCUUCUUAAGUGUUAAUAAGUUCAGAUACAACUUAGUUAGCAUUGGUUUUCCAUGGUAGUAGCCUUUUUUUCAAUUAUCACAUUGAUUCCUCUUACCAUUUGUCUUCUUGAGUACGAUAUGAACAAGUUAGAAAACAAACCUAAUCUAUUAGCUUUGACUUCCUUUUUCAAACUUUGAAUCAAAUUUUGGUUUCUGCUUCAACCUUUGAAGGGUGAUAAUGAGUGGAGGUGGGGGCUCAUGGAUUGGUAUGAUACUAUGAUGUGAUGAAAGAUGGAUGUGCGGAGGGGUUGUGGUAGGUGGCAAUGAAGUGUGAUGGUGGUUAUUGUUGAAGAAGGUGGUUAACAAAGGUUUGUGGUCGUUAAUGACUGUGGUGGCUGGCAUCGGAAAUGCUAUAUCGUUUCUUUAUAUUAUUCUCUAAAAUUUUGAGAUAAAAUAUGUAAUUAUGUAUAGAGGGUGGGAUGUGAACGCUCAAAAAACUUGAACAUGAGUGUGACAAUCAGCCUAGAGUAUCAUUCAAAACAUCAACCUCUGCUACGUAGCAAGUUCAUUGAUUGUGUCGGGUGGUUCAAGCUGUCCUUAAUACAAAUUUAGUGGAUAAAAAAGACGGGUCAAAGAGCUGCUAUAAGGGCUGACAUUGUGUGUGUUAUCAUAAUGAACGCGUUGUUUUUCUAUUAUAAAGUAUUGUUGGAUAAAAAAGACGGGUCAAAGUUUUGCUUUCCAAAUUUAAAACUUAUGCAAAUUUAGUGUCCCAGAAAAUUAUUAGCGCUUCUAAGUUUGUAAGGCUUGACUACGAUAUAUUUCGUUUUGAUUAUUUCCCUCAUAACAAGUGAUCUUUAGACUCUAAGAAGGUUGAGCUCAUCUUUAUAAAUGUAAUUUUUAUGACUGAUUAUUACUUUGUUUCUUUCUAUUUUGAUAAACAUGUAUACAUGGGAUGGCAUUGACGAGAGUACCGAAGGGCGGGUUCAGGGAAUAGCGGUUUAGAAUCGGUGAAUAACGGAUAUGGAUGGUUCAUCGUUGGAGGUUGAUCACGGUAGGAAUGAUGAUAUUGACAGUAAUGCCUGCAUCGCAGGAGAGUCUAAAGGAGGCUGCGGCUGGGGAGGAUUCUCCUGCUUCGCCAGCUCAACCCGUUCAUUCUCAAGUACUGCUGGAACAAGAUGGCUACCCCCAAAGUCAACUAAUUCGGCUCCUGAGGGUCAGGAUGGAGUAUUUCCAUGCUAGCUGGUGCGGGGAUUGUGUGCUAACAAGUUAUUAUGCCAUCUACAUCUACAUGCUACAGGUACUACGUCAAUGCCACUAUAUUUUGAGUUGGAAGACUCUGAACGGAAAAUGAGGAGCUGAAUGAGAAUGGAGAAGAAAUUAAAUCAAUAGCUUUAUAUCAUUACAAAGUUCAUCUCAAUGUUAGUAGAUAUUAUAUGUUUGUGUUAAGCCACCCGUAAAACUCGCGGGAUCUUAGACUAUAUGAAUUUAAAUAAGAAUUUAGAUAUUGAAGUUUAUAUAAACUUGAUGUCAAUCAAAAGAUGAAAACAGUGACCUUUCGUUGAUCUAUUAAAGGUUCGCUGGUAUGUAACAGGUUUUUGGUGAGGGAAGUGAUCACUAUGUUGGGUUUUGGGUUUGUACCAGUUAGGGUCGUAUAUUGUCUGUUUGAGACCUGUUUUAACCCUCAGACGUGAAGCCUAAGUUUGGAAAGGCCUAGAAAAAAAAUGAUGAUCUACAUGGGCUUCAAUGCCGGUAGAUAUUAUAUGUUUGUGUUAAGCCACCCGCGAAAGUCGCGGGAUCUUAGGCUAGUUAAAUAAAUAUAUUAUCGCAUUACCCCAUCCUUUGACGCGCUUAAGUUACCCCCUUUUGAACCGCCAUACGCCUCUCACUUGUAUAAAGCCUAACAAAAUCCCCAAAUCCCACUUUACAUAAAAAACCAACUCUUCUUCAUCUUCAUCAUGAGUUACUACAAUCAGGGCCAACCACCUGUCGGUGCUCCUCCUCCACAAGGUUAUCCGCCAGAAGGGUACCCAAAAGACUCCUACCCGCCAGCAGGGUACCCUCCGCAGGGAUACCCUCCACAAGGGUACCCUCCGCAGUACGCCCCUCAGCAAGGGUACCCUCCUCAGCAGCAACAACAGCAGCAAAGUACCGGUUUCAUGGAAGGAUGUUUGGCUGCCCUGUGUUGCUGUUGCUUGUUGGAUGCUUGCUUUUGAGUAAAGUAUGGAUGGAGAGAUGGUCUACAACCUGAUUUGACCAUUAUAUCUUUUUAUUGAAUAAUUUUGGACUUGAAAGUGUAUCUAGUAGUUUCUUUUAUUCUCAUCUUAAAUUCUUAAUUAUGGAUUUUUAGCUCUUGUUUUGGGUACCUUUGAAAUAGUUAUAGUGUUAUGUGCGUUGGUAGCU